CAGGGUGUAGCUCAGUUUGCGCAGAGCACCUGCCUUGGGAGCAGGGGGUCGCAAGUUCAAAUCUUGCCACCCUGACCA
rnacentral:tRNA from 1 species